rnacentral:sRNA from 1 species
ACUGCGCCUCGGGAGGGUCCGGCCACCGCUGGAACCCGAGGCCGGGGCUGGGGGCGCUCCGGGCUCCGACCCACGGGCCGGCCGGCCCUGCCCGGGCUGGGUGAGGGGCGCCCGCCUCAAGCUAGAGAAAAAGAGCCGGGAGGAGUCUAGUGGUGAGGGCAGCGGCGUGGAGAUCCUGGCCAACCGGCCCUACACGGAUGGGCCCGGGGGCAGCGGGCAGUACACACACAAGGUGUACCACGUGGGCUCCCACAUCCCAGGCUGGUUCCGGGCACUGCUGCCCAAGGCUGCCCUGCAGGUAGAAGAGGAAUCCUGGAAUGCCUACCCCUACACCCGAACCCGGUACACCUGCCCUUUCGUGGAGAAAUUCUCCAUUGAAAUCGAGACCUAUUACCUGCCUGAUGGGGGGCAGCAGCCAAACGUCUUCAACCUGAGCGGGGCCGAGAGGAGACAGCGCAU